GUUCGCGUGGUGAAAUUGGUAAACACAGAAAAUUCAAAAUUUUCCGUUUAAUAAACUUACCGGUUCGAGUCCGGUCGUGAAUA
rnacentral:tRNA from 1 species